GAUGAAGAACGCAGCGAAAUGCGAUAAGUAAUGUGAAUUGCAGAAUUCGGUGAAUCAUCGAAUCUUUGAACGCACAUUGCGCCCGCCAGUAUUCUGGCGGGCAUGCCUGUUCGAGCGUCAUUUCCACCAUCAGGCCCCCGGGCCUGUGUUGGGGACCUGCGGCUGCCCGCAGGCCCCGAAAUUCAGUGGCGGUCGCGCCGUAGCAACCGAGCGUAGUAACUAAAACGUCUCGCUCUGGCUCGCUGGGCGCGCUCCGGCCGUAAAACACCCCCCCUUUUCGCAAAGGUUGACCUCGGAUCAGGUAGGAAUACCCGCUGAACUUAAGCAUAUCAAUAAGCGGAGGA
rnacentral:misc_RNA from 1 species